rnacentral:rRNA from 1 species
AAAGAGUGCGUAAUAGCUCACUGGUCGAGUGGUUCUGCGCCGAAAAUUUAACGGGGCUAAACGAUACACCGAAGCUUGGGAUGCAGCAUUGGCUGCAUGGUAGGAGAGCGUUCUGUACGGGGUGAAGUCAUAGCGGAAGCGGUGGUGGACUGUACAGAAGAGAGAAUGCCGGAAUGAGUAGCGAGAUUUAUGUGAGAAUCAUAAAGGCCGAAAGACUAAGGAUUUAGAAGGAAGGUUCGUCCGCUUCUAGUUAGCCGGGAGCUAAGGCGAGGCCGAAAGGCGUAGUCGAUGCACAUACGGUGGAGAUUCCGUAGCCGCCUCUUAAUUUAAGCAAAGGGACACUUUCAAAGGGAAUGACCCGGGCGUUGGUAGCCCCGGGCGAAAGGGACCGAAAUUAGAGUAGGGAAGCAUUUCUGGAGGAAGGCGAGAAAAGCUUUGCGGAUAGAGAGAGGCGCCCGUACCGCAAACCGACACAGGUAGAUCAGGAGAGGAUUCUAAGGCCAACGGGAGAAGGGUAGUUAAGGAACUCGGCAAAUUGACCCCGUAACUUCGGAAUAAGGGGUGCUCGAAAAGGAGCCGCAGUGAAUAGGCCCAGGCGACUGUUUAUCAAAAACACAGCUCUCUGCUAAAUCGAAAGAUGAAGUAUAGGGGGUGACACCUGCCCGGUGCUGGAAGGUUAAGAGGAAGGGUGCAAGCUCUGAAUUGAAGCCCCAGUAAACGGCGGCCGUAACUAUAACGGUCCUAAGGUAGCGAAAUUCCUUGUCGGGUAAGUUCCGACCCGCACGAAUGGUGUAACGAUCUGGGCACUGUCUCAACUACCCACCCGGCGAAAUUGUAGUACCGGUGAAGAUGCCGGUUACCCGCGGCAAGACGGAAAGACCCCAUGGAGCUUUACUGUAGCCUGAUAUUGGGUUUCGGUAUUCUAUGUACAGGAUAGGCGGGAGACUGGGAACCGAUGGCGUCAGCUGUCGGGGAGUCACCCUUGGGAUACCGCUCUUAGAGUACUGGAAUUCUAACCUGCGGCCGUGAAUCCGGCCGGGGGACAUUGUCAGGUGGGCAGUUUGACUGGGGCGGUCGCCUCCAAAAAGGUAACGGAGGCGCUCAAAGGUUCGCUCAGCACGGACGGAAACCGUGCCUCUGAGUGCAAACGCAAAAGCGAGCCUAACUGCGAGGCUGACGGGCCGAGCAGUAACGAAAGUUGGAGUUAGUGAUCCGG